rnacentral:rRNA from 1 species
CCUGAGGAAUCAGCCUCGGCUAACUCCGUGCCAGCAGCCGCGGUAAUACGGAGGAGGCAAGCGUUAUCCGGAAUUAUUGGGCGUAAAGCGUCCGCAGGUGGCGAUUCAAGUCUGCUGUCAAAGCACGGGGCUUAACUCCGUUAAGGCAGUGGAAACUGAAUGGCUAGAGUGCCCGUAGGGGUAGAGGGAAUUCCCGGUGUAGCGGUGAAAUGCGUAGAGAUCGGGAAGAACAUCGGUGGCGAAAGCGCUCUACUGGACGGCAACUGACACUCAGGGACGAAAGCUAGGGGAGCGAAUGGGAUUAGAUACCCCCGUAGUCA